UAGGGAAUCUUCGGCAAUGGACGAAAGUCUGACCGAGCAACGCCGCGUGAGUGAAGAAGGUUUUCGGAUCGUAAAACUCUGUUGGUAGAGAAGAACGUUGGUGAGAGUGGAAAGCUCAUCAAGUGACGGUAACUACCCAGAAAGGGACGGCUAACUACGUGCCAGCAGCCGCGGUAAUACGUAGGUCCCGAGCGUUGUCCGGAUUUAUUGGGCGUAAAGCGAGCGCAGGUGGUUUAUUAAGUCUGGUGUAAAAGGCAGUGGCUCAACCAUUGUAUGCAUUGGAAACUGGUAGACUUGAGUGCAGGAGAGGAGAGUGGAAUUCCAUGUGUAGCGGUGAAAUGCGUAGAUAUAUGGAGGAACACCGGUGGCGAAAGCGGCUCUCUGGCCUGUAACUGACACUGAGGCUCGAAAGCGUGGGGAGCAAACAGGAUUAGAUACCCUGGUAGUCCACGCCGU
rnacentral:rRNA from 1 species